rnacentral:rRNA from 1 species
AGCUCCAAUAGCGUAUAUUAAAGUUGCUGCAGUUAAAAAGCUCGUAGUUGGAUUUGUGGCGCGGUCGUCCGGCGGGGCUUCCGGUUUCAUAGUAUCCCGGGGCCGUUUGUCUGGGUUCUUGGCCGCCCCAUUCUUCGGUUGCGUGUCGCUGGCAUUAGGUUGUCGGCUUCUUCGCGCCGAUCGUUUACUGUGAAAAAAUUAGAGUGUUCAAGGCAGGCUCGCGCCUGAAUACAUUAGCAUGGAAUAAUGGAAAAGGACCUCGGUCCUAUUUUGUUGGUUUCUGGGGCCGAAGUAAUGAUUAAGAGGGACAGUUGGGGGCAUUCGUAUUUAAUUGUCAGAGGUGAAAUUCUCGGAUUUAUGAAAGACGAACGACUGCGAAAGCAUUUGCCAAGGAUGUUUU